ensembl:lncRNA
CAACAAGCUCUCUUCUUUCCAGCUCUCAGUCAGCAGUUUUCCUUUAACGUUGUAACUUUGACCUGUAAUAUGGACCUCCAGUCAAUAGAUUAAAUGGUAUUCAGGAACGAAGCCCCACAGCAGUACUCAAACACUCAUUUGUGUGCCUCAGUUGGUUCAUUCAGUGUUCAAAGCGUGGAUCUAUUGAAGCGUGACCACCGCUGCAUUACUGCAACCCCAAGGAAAGUUCAUAAAUCCUAGAACUAUUUACUGCGUUUGUGGUAGUAGUCAAAGUCUGCCCGGCAACAGGCGAGCACUUCAACCAGGCGUUACGCAAGAGCGAGUCUUUCACAACGCUAGGCUGACCUAUCGAUACAGACACGUGUACCUGUGGGAGUGGAGAAAGAGAAAUCCAAUUGUGGCGUGUUCAAAGUUUAAGUGACCUAGAGUGAGUUUUUGAAGACUUGUUGGUGCUGCUGUGUCUUGGGCUUCCAAUUUACUGACACAUGCCAGUCCUUUUGAAAACAGUGUCUACACUGUGUGUGUUCUACACUGUGUGUGUGUGUGUGUGUGUGUGUGUGUGUGUGUGUGUGUGUGUGUGUGUGUGUGUGUGUGUGUGUGUGUGUGUGUGUGUGUGUGUGUGUGUGUGUGUGUGUGUGUGUGCAUGUGUGUGUGUGUGUGUGUGUGUGUGUGUGUGCGUGUGUGUGUGUGUUUGUAAAAAUAGAUGAAAGAAUAAUUCAGAGAAUGUGAUAGUUUGGCCCUAGACCAAAGGAGGUCACACCACAAACACCAUUCGAUCCACAGAUUAGACAAGGACACUUCUGUCCUAUGACUACCCUUUGAUACACACAAUGGGCGCUCCUAACACGUAUCCCAAAGGCCAAUGUAUUCAACCGCCACUUUUAACCCAUCAACCCGUUAUUAAGUGUUAAUGUACCGAUGAAUGCCAAUUCAGAACCUUUCAUUUUUCCAUCAUCUGCAUUGUGGGAAUGCAAAUAGUUUUGGGAUUGCUUUUGAAGAUAAAUAAACUUCAGUCAGUCUCGUUCAGCAGUUUCCACUCUGAAGUAAUUAACAACUCGUGGCUUGGUUUCAGGCUUGGCUUGGGAGCAUCCUUGCUGCUUAUGGAGGGAGCGAAAUCACACUUUGUUAUGACCUUCCUAUUUACAGUCCAUUUCCUCCAACGAUCAUUAUCGAGUCCUCAUUUGACUGCGACUACACGUUAUUAUGCAGCCCUGAGGUAAAACAGUUAUGAAUAAAAAUACGCAAAAAUAAACCAAGGGUUAUGACCCUUGCCUCCUGCACUUUACUACCUCGGGGUUGCAUGUGGCAUGAGGCCCAGGAGGUAGAACGGGUUGGCUGGUAACCAGAAGGUUGCUAGUUCAAUCCCCGGCCCCUCCAGGAUGAGUGUCGAGGUGCCCCUGAGCGAGGCACCUCACCCUGACUGGUCCCGACCAGAUGGCUUUCGCCUGCGUGGUCGACACCACCAUCGGUUUGUUAAUGUGUGUAUGAACGGGUGAAUGUGAGGAGGUAUUGUAAAGCGCUUUGAGUGGCCACUGGUUAGAAAAGCGCCGUAUAAAUGCAGUCCAUUUACCAUUCACAACAUCAACACCUCAUCCAAAUGACAGUGGGACAUGUAUACGUUUGUUAAAGACCAGGAAACUGCAUGCAGACGCAGGAAGGCAAGCUGAUGAUAAUCGGUGUAAAGUGUGAGGAGGGCUGGGGCCAUGGAACGUGUCCUCACAGGUUACACUGGCUCCAUGGUGAGCCAGUGACUCACCUUAAUGACACAAACUGACGGUUGGCCUCCACAACGUUCAUGCGUACUGAAAGGCUGGGUCUGGCACAAUGGCCUCUGUGGUUCCACAUCGAGCGGCCGCUGCCGCUACGCCCUCCCAUGUGACCACACCAGCGCGGCUCCACGUGCACGCCCCUCACCUGCCUGGGAGGGGGCUGAGCCCGGCUCAUCAAGUUAGCAGCUCUCUUUAGACACGUCUCUAUUUCAUGUUUCCUUGUCUGCUGUUAUGUAGUUAUGUAGCACAGUGGAAUCCGAUCCGUGCCUGUUUGGCAUACUCCAGUACCUGUAUUACCCUUCUCUUUAAUCGUUUCUCUCUGUACCACCUUUCUGGUGCUUUCCUUCCUUUUAUUAUGUUCAAUAAAUAUUGUGCUUGUUCUCAAUCAAAUAUUCUGCUUUCCAUGCCUCUCUCUCUCUCUCUCUCUCUCUCUCUCUCUCUCUCUCUCUCUCUCUCUCUCUCUCUCUCUC